rnacentral:rRNA from 1 species
UAAUUAAAUUAAUUUUUAUUUAAAAUUAUUUAUUUAUAAAUUUAUUUAUAUUAGUUAUAUUUAAUAAUAUUAAUAUUUAAAAUUAUUGUGCGUAGUUUACUGUAAUUUUAUUUAAAUUAUUAUUAUUGGUAAUAAGUUAAUAUAAUUAAGAAAAAUAAUUUGAUUUUUGAAGGUUUAAUAAAUUUUAUUAAAAAAAUUUUAUAUUUUUAUAGGUAUUGUGAAAGAUAAAAUUUUAUUGAAAAAUAUAUAUAUUUGUUACAUGUUCCUUUUGUAUCAGGAAUUUUUAAAAUUAAUUUAAUUAAUUUAAUUAUUUCGAAAUUAUUAAGAGUUAGUUUUUUAUAAAAUAUAAAGUUUAAUUUUUAUUUUAAAUAUAAAAUUAUUAGUGAAAUGUGAGUAGGGUAUAGUGAUAUCUAAUUAUUUAAUAGUAAGUUUAAUUUAUUUUAUUAGAAUAAAAAUAUUUAUAAAUAUAAAUUAUUUAUUUAUUUAAAUAAUUUUAUAAAUGUAUAAUAAAAAUAUAAUUUAAGGGAUAAACUUUAAAUUAAUUUAUAAGUUUUUUUUAAAUUUAUUUAAAUUUUAUAAUAUUAAAAUUUUAUAAUAAGUCAAAUAAUUUAAUAAUAUAAUUUAAGUACAAAAUAUAAUUUUAGUUUAAAUUUAUUUUAUAAAUAAAGUUAAAUUAUUUUUUUAAAAAAUUUAUUUAAAUUUAUAAUGAUAAUAUUAGUAAAUUUAAAUUAUUUAAAAUUUAAUUAUUUAUUGGUUAAAUUUAAUAACUAGGCAAAAUUUUAUUUACCUGUUUAACAAAAACAUCGUUUUUUGAUUUUUAAUUAAAAAUAGUGUCUGCUCAGUGAAUAAAAAAUUUAAAUGGCUGCAGUAUUCUGACUGUGCUAAGGUAGCAUAAUAAUUAGCUUAUUAAUUGUAAGCUUGAAUGAAUGAUUUAAUAAAAUAAAAACUUUUUUAAUUUAAUUAAUUAAAUUUUUUAAGUAAGUUAAAAUUCUUAUAAAUUUAUAAAAGACGAUAAGACCCUAUAAAAUUUAAUAGAUAAUUUUUUAUGACUUAAUUUUAUUAUAUUGUAUGGUAUUAAAUAUUUAGUUGGGGUGAUUUAAUUAUUUAAUAAACUAAUUAGUUUAAAUUACAUUAAUAAAUGAUUUUUUGAUCCAAUUAUUUUGAUUAGCAGAUUAAAUUACUUUAGGGAUAACAGCGUAAUGAUUUAUUUUAGUUCUUAUAGAUUAGAUUUUUUGCGACCUCGAUGUUGAAUUAAGGUUAAUUUUAAAAGUAAAGUAUUAAUAGUUUAGUCUGUUCGACUAUUAAAACCUUACAUGAUUUGAGUUCAAAUCGGUGUGAGCCAGAUUGGAUUUUAUCUUUAUUUAAUUAUUUGUUUAUUGUACGAAAGGACUUAAAAAUUAAAAAAUUUUUAUUUAUUGAUUAAGAUUAAGAAGUUAUUUAUAAAUAAAAUAG